GGAGAGAUGUCUGAGUGGUCGAAAGUGCACGCUUGGAAAGCGUGUGUAGUGAAAGCUACCGCAGGUUCGAAUCCUGUUCUCUCCGCCA
rnacentral:tRNA from 1 species